rnacentral:rRNA from 1 species
UGCGUAGGUGGUUAUAUUAGUGUGAUGUGAAAGCCCUGGGCUUAACCUAGGAAGAGCAUUGCAAACGGUACAACUAGAGUAUAAGAGAGGGUGGUGGAAUUUCCGGUGUAGCGGUGAAAUGCGUAGAGAUCGGAAGGAACGUCAAUGGCGAAGGCAGCCACCUGGCUUAAUACUGACACUGAAGCACGAAAGCGUGGGGAGCGAACA